UUAUGCAACAAUAAUCGGCCAACCAUAAUGAUUGAUUGCAUGUGUGCCCUGCCCACCUCUUAUCCUCGCCCGUGCUCCCUUGCAACGCCCUCGAGCCAAACUCACCGCCGCCGCCGCCGCUGCCCUCGUCCACGGCACCUCCGCUCCGCCACCUCGUCCACGGCUUCUCCUUCCCGAGGCCCAUCUGGGACGCCGCCAUCCAUUGCACUGCACGCACCCUGUGGAGACAGAGGAUCGAGGCGUUUUACUCGAUCUGGUUGGUUGAUUUGGAAUUGGAGUCGCUGUUCCCGGGAUUAUUAAUUCUUGCUCUCUCAGGGGAGGUCAUGCAUGCGUUCGAUUCGUAUGGGGUGAUUGCUUUGUGGUGAUACUGCAAACUGGAGGAACUUCUCAGACUUCCCCAUCAUUUUUUCCUUCCAGGCCGGAUUGCUAUUUCUCAAUUGAUUAAGAAAUACUAAACCACCGUAUGUGCUGUCAGGCCAGUCAUUGCAUCUCUGAAGAACUCCCCUGUUUCUGCGUGUCGGACCAAGCUCAGCCGUCGAUUCGCCAUCCAGUGGCUCUCCAAUGAAGAUAACGGUUCGCCACUGGUUUGUCAUCAGAGUCGCAGAUGCUCCAUCCAACGGCUAUCAUCGCCCUGAGUGUCGCUGUUCAUCGCCCGACACGCCAUGUGCUCUGUCUCCACUUUCUGUUCUGCUUUUCCCUCUGUAAUGGCUAUAUAGCCACCCCUCGCUCUCAGUUUUGGGCAUGAUUAUUGUAACUGGGUAGAAACCCUAGCCGCCGGUGGCGUGCUUUUGCUACUUUCCCCUUUCGGAGCAAUAUAAACCCUAUUCUUCCAA